GUCUACAUGGAAGGUUACUGAGCAAAGUGCUUGCACAUUUGCUGUCUGUUUUUUGCAGCACUACUGUUAAAGUUCACAAGUUCAAAUCCAAAAAAGAAAAAAAAAAGGAUAAUCCACUCUGCUGACUUUCAAGAUUAUUAUAUUAUUCAAUUCUCAGGAAUGUUGCAGAGUGGUUGUCCAAUCCGUGAGAACUUUCAUUCUUAUUAGGGGGAAUAUUUGGAUAAGAACCAGACAUUACUGAUCUGAUAGAAAAGCUCUUGCCGCCCUCCCUGCAGAAAGAACAAAGCAGAACCAGUGGAAGUAAUUAAGAAAACUGUGACCAUGUCAGGAAGUGAUGAUGGCCUCUUGUUCUUUCUUAAACCUAUGAUCCUUUCCAGGGGGCUGAUCUGGCCAAAGUACUAAAUAAAAUAUAUAAUAUUUCUUCUUUAUUAACAUUGUAGUCAUAUAUAUGUACAAUUGAUUAUCUUGUGGCCCUCAUAAAGAAGUGGAAAUUGACUUGUAUUUUGUGUUUACCCUAGCAGCAAGCUCUUUAUUCUCCAAAGCACCCAAUUUUCUACAGUUGCCUGACACGCAGCAAAAUUGAGCACGUGUUUCCUGCCUACACCCUGUUCUCUGUCCUAUCAGCUUGCUUUUCUUUCUAGGGAUAUGUGUUUGAACAUAUGUCUCCAAAUGUUAAACCUGUCUCAGAUAAUAAAUAUCAAAAUUCUGGCAUUUCAUCCUAUAAAACCUACCCCGUGAGAGC
rnacentral:lncRNA from 1 species